GUCUUUAAAUGACUUUCUUCAGUCGAAGUUUUCCCUCUAGUGGUUGCUGUGGAAAUCACAGGAAGAUUUUCUAAUGCUAAAUGUUCAAAUGGAAAAUAAACACAUAAGAAUUGAAAAACGAAUAGCCAGAAUUAUUGAGGAAAUUCGAGCUAGUGUUUUUUUUUUUUUAAAGACUCUGUAGUUAGAUUUUAAAAUUAUAUAACAGCACUCAGUUUCUGAAAAUUAGAAAGAAAAUUAUUUGGUCCUUUUAUGGCAUCAAAUGGAUUUUAAUGAAGAUGAUGAUUAAUAUAUCUAGGCUUGAAGAAAGCAAUAAGAAAGCCACACACACUUCAUUUCAUCCUAUAAAUGAAGCAUUUUCAAAUGCAGGCUCUUAAAUGAUUUUGCUUUCUUUUUUGAUCUGGCUUCCAGUACAGCAGUAAUCUCCAGUUUUGGCUUCCUCUCAGGAAGUUGAGCAGAAGUUGUGCGUGAAUAAGCAUAUUUUGGUUUUUCUUAAAGGCACCUUUCUUAUAAAUCACUCCCCAAAUCAGAAACACUGAAAUGUGAUGGUAGGAUAAAGGCAUUUUAAAAAUCCAAGCCCCAGAAUGCUCUACCAGGCCCCAAUUGUCUGUCCUCUGCCCACCUCUGUAGCCUGGCAUCGUCCUGCCCUGCCCUUGCCCACAGUGCUUGGGCUGCUGCCAUCUUUAUCCCUCGGACACUCCACAGCUGUGCUUGCGGUUCCCUGUUCUUGACAUGCUCUGCCUCACAUCGCUGGCUUCUAUGGACCACCUGCCUCAAAAACGUCUUCCCUGACCCACCUAGAAAAGUAGGCUUUGACAGUUCAUCUUCAUCACAUCACCCAUUUAUUCACUCCAGAACUCUUACCAUCAUCUAAAUAGUGUAAUUUAUUUUCUACUAGUUUUUGUCUGUCUCCCUUAGAAGAAUGGAAGCUACAUGACACAGAGAUUUAUGCAUCUUUUCAUGAUUGUGACCCAGACCCUAGAACAGUGCUUCACACAAGGCAGGUGCUUGAUAUUGGUUGGCACAAUGAAUAAAUGAAUGGAAGAUGAUAGGAACAUUAACUAAUCAGUGUUAUUUGUUUAAAAAUUUUCCUUUUUUUUCCUCUCCAUGAUGAAAUACAAUUUCAUUUUCCUUGAAUUGUAAAACAAACAAAC
rnacentral:lncRNA from 1 species